rnacentral:rRNA from 1 species
CCUACGGGAGGCAGCAGUAGGGAAUUUUGCGCAAUGGGCGAAAGCCUGACGCAGCAACGCCGCGUGAUCGAGACGCCCUUCGGGGUGUAAAGAUCUGUCAGUGGGGACGAAACUUGACGGUACCCACAGAGGAAGCACCGGCUAACUCCGUGCCAGCAGCCGCGGUAAUACGGGGGGUGCAAGCGUUGUCCGGAAUCAUUGGGCGUAAAGAGUUCGUAGGCGGUCCGGAAAGUCAGCGGUAAAAGCCCGGGGCUCAACCCCGGCGAGCCGUUGAAACUGUCGGACUAGAGACGGCGAGAAGUACGCGGAAUGCGCGGUGUAGCGGUGAAAUGCAUAGAUAUCGCGCAGAACUCCGAUUGCGAAGGCAGCGUACCGGCGCCGGACUGACGCUGAGGCACGAAAGCGUGGGUAUCGAACAGGAUUAGAUACCCCAGUAGUC